rnacentral:rRNA from 1 species
GACGAACGCUGGCGGCGUGCCUAAUACAUGCAAGUCGAACGCAUUUUCUUUCACCGUAGCUUGCUACACCGAAAGAAAGUGAGUGGCGAACGGGUGAGUAACACGUGGGUAACCUGCCCAUCAGCGGGGGAUAACACUUGGAAACAGGUGCUAAUACCGCAUAAUUCCAUUUACCGCAUGGUAGAUGGAUGAAAGGCGCUUUUGCGUCACUGAUGGAUGGACCCGCGGUGCAUUAGCUAGUUGGUGGGGUAACGGCCUACCAAGGCUGCGAUGCAUAGCCGACCUGAGAGGGUGAUCGGCCACACUGGGACUGAGACACGGCCCAGACUCCUACGGGAGGCAGCAGUAGGGAAUCUUCGGCAAUGGACGCAAGUCUGACCGAGCAACGCCGCGUGAGUGAAGAAGGUUUUCGGAUUGUAAAACUCUGUUGUUAGGGAAGAACAAGGGUGAGAGUGGAAAGUUCAUCCCUGGACGGUAUCUAACCAGAAGGCCACGGCUAACUACGG